rnacentral:snoRNA from 1 species
UGUUUGCUGUGAUGACUCCUACAAGGACGGUAUCUGAGUAAGGUGGCUCUUGAAAGAGUACUCCUUGUGAUUACAUCCACAACUGAUCAGAGAUUCUGAGCAAACA